rnacentral:rRNA from 1 species
GACGAACCGUGCGAACGUUGUUCGGAAUCACUGGGCUUAAAGGGCGCGUAGGCGGGCAUUCAAGUCAGGGGUGAAAUCCCCCAGCUCAACUGGGGAACUGCCUUUGAUACUGGGUGCCUCGAGUAAGGUAGGGGCAUGCGGAACUGAUGGUGGAGCGGUGAAAUGUGUUGAUAUCAUCAGGAACUCCGGUGGCGAAGGCGGCAUGCUGGACCUUCACUGACGCUGAGGCGCGAAAGCUAGGGGAGCGAACGGG